ACGAACGUUGGCGGCGUGCUUAAUACAUGCAAGUCAACUGAAGCACCGGUAGUUAAUACUGGUGUGGAGGUGGCGCACGGGUGAGUAACACGUAGGUAAUCUGCCUUCAGGUCUGACAUAACCCCGAGAAAUCGGGGCUAAUAGCAGAUGAUGCAGCGGCUUGACAUCAAGACAGUUGUUAAAGCUUCGGCGCCUGAAGAUGAGCCUGCGUCUGAUUAGCUAGUUGGCGGAGUAAUAGCCCACCAAGGCGACGAUCAGUAGCUGGUCUGAGAGGAUGAUCAGCCACACUGGAACUGAGACACGGUCCAGACUCCUACGGGAGGCAGCAGUAAGGAAUAUUGCUCAAUGGGAGAAAUCCUGAAGCAGCAACGCCGCGUGAGGGAUGAAGGGCUUUUGCUCGUAAACCUCUGUAGUGAGGGAAAAAUUUCCAUUCUAUGGAAUAUGAUGGUACCUCAAAAGUAAGCCCCGGCUAACUACGUG
rnacentral:rRNA from 1 species